rnacentral:rRNA from 1 species
UGGGGAAUAUUGGACAAUGGGCGAAAGCCUGAUCCAGCCAUGCCGCGUGAGUGACGAAGGCCUUAGGGUUGUAAAACUCUUUCGUCGGGGACGAUAAUGACGGUACCCGAAGAAGAAGCUCCGGCUAACUUCGUGCCAGCAGCCGCGGUAAUACGAAGGGAGCUAGCGUUGUUCGGAAUCACUGGGCGUAAAGCGCACGUAGGCGGAUAGUUAAGUCAGGGGUGAAAUCCUGGGGCUCAACCCCAGAACUGCCUUUGAAACUAGGUCGCUAGAAUCACGGAGAGGUGAGUGGAAUUCCGAGUGUAGAGGUGAAAUUCGUAGAUAUUCGGAAGAACACCAGUGGCGAAGGCGGCUCACUGGACGUGUAUUGACGCUGAGGUACGAAAGCGUGGGGAGCAAACAGGAUUAGAUACCCACGUAGUCCCUGAGCGGGCUGGCAAGGCGCAU